rnacentral:tRNA from 1 species
GGCACGGUGGUGCAGUGGGUAGCACUGUCGCCUCACAGCAUGAAGGUCUAUCCAGGUCCAAAUCCAGACUGGGCCU